AUUGAACGCUGGCGGCAGGCCUAACACAUGCAAGUCGAGCGAGCGGCGGACGGGUGAGUAAUGUCUGGGAAACUGCCCGAUGGAGGGGGGUAACUACUGGAAACGGUAGCUAAUACCGCAUACCAUCGGAUGUGCCCAGAUGGGCUUAGCUAGUAGGUGGGGUAACGGCUCACCUAGGCGACGAUCCCUAGCUGGUCUGAGAGGAUGACCAGCCACACUGGAACUGAGACACGGUCCCGACUCCUACGGGAGGCAGCAGUGGGGAAGAUUGCACAAUGGGCGCAAGCCUGAUGCAGCCAUGCCGCGUGUAUGAAGAAGGCUUUCGGGUUGUAAAGUACUUUCAGCGGGGAGGCGUUACCCGCAGAAGAAGCACCGGCUAACUCCGUGCCAGCCGCCGCGGUAAUUC
rnacentral:rRNA from 1 species